ACGCUGGCGGCGUGCCUAAUACAUGCAAGUCGAACGGUCUUUUCUAUGGAAGCUUGCUUCCACUGAGAAGAUAGUGGCGAACGGGUGAGUAACACGUGGGGUAACCUGCCCAUAAGAGGGGGGAUAACAUCCGGAAACGGGUGCUAAUACCGCAUAGUUUUUCUUGAUCGCAUGAUUGAGAAAGGAAAGACGGCCUUUGUGCUGUCGCUUAUGGAUGGACCCGCGGCGUAUUAGUUAGUUGGUGAGGUAACGGCUCACCAAGACGAUGAUACGUAGCCGACCUGAGAGGGUGAUCGGCCACAUUGGGACUGAGACACGGCCCAAACUCCUACGGGAGGCAGCAGUAGGGAAUCUUCCGCAAUGGACGAAAGUCUGACGGAGGCAACGCCGCGUGAGUGAAGAAAAGGGUUUUCGGAUCGUAAAACUCUGUUGUCAGAGAAGAACAAGUUGGAGAGUAACUGCUCCAGCCUUGACGGUAUCUGACCAGAAAGCCACGGCUAACUACGUGCCAGCCGCCGC
rnacentral:rRNA from 1 species